GGGUUGCGCUCUUAUAAUGCAGGUCGAACGAGGAGCCUUUGUAGUAAUACGAGGGUUUCCUAGUGGCGAACGGGUGCGUAACGCGUUGGUGACCUGCCCCAAAGUGAGGGAUAACAGACCGAAAGGUUUGCUAAUACCCCAUGUGGUCAUGAGAAUUAGAACCUUGUGACUAAAGCAGUAAUGCGCUUUGGGAGGGGCCUUCGUCCCAUCAGCUAGUUGGUAAGGUAAUGGCUUACCAAGGCGAUGACGGGUAGGGGACCUGAGAGGGUGGUCCCCCACACUGGCACUGAAAUACGGGCCAGACACCUACGGGUGGCAGCAGUAGGGAAUAUUGCACAAUGGACGAAAGUCUGAUGCAGCAACGCCGCGUGCACGAUGAAGGCCUUCGGGUCGUAAAGUGCUUUUCUGGGAGAUGAGAAAGGACAGUAUCCCAGGAAUAAGUCUCGGCUAACUACGUGCCAGCAGCCGCGGUAAAACGUAGGAGGCGAGCGUUAUCCGGAUUUACUGGGCGUAAAGCGCGUGUAGGCGGUUUGGUAAGUUGGAUGUGAAAGCUCCUGGCUCAACUGGGAGAGGUCGUUCAAAACUACCAGACUUGAGAGUGGUAGAGGAAGGCGGAAUUCCCGGUGUAGUGGUGAAAUGCGUAGAUAUCGGGAGGAACACCAGUGGCGAAAGCGGCCUUCUGGACCAUUUCUGACGCUCAGACGCGAAAGCUAGGGUAGCAACGGGAUUAGAGACCCCGGUAGUCCUAGCAGUAAACGAUGUGAACUUGGCGUUGGUGAUGUAAAAAUCAUCAGUGCCGAAGCUAACGCGAUAAGUUCACCGCCUGGGGACUACGGCCGCAAGGUUAAAACUCAAAGGAAUUGACGG
rnacentral:rRNA from 1 species